CCUACGGGUGGCAGCAGUGGGGGAUAUUGGACAAUGGGGGGAACCCUGAUCCAGCGACGCCGCGUGAGUGAAGAAGUAUUUCGGUAUGUAAAGCUCUGUCAGCAGGGAAGAAAGAAAUGACGGUACCUGACCAAGAAGCCCCGGCUAACUACGUGCCAGCAGCCGCGGUAAUACGUAGGGGGCAAGCGUUAUCCGGAUUUACUGGGUGGAAAGGGAGCGUAGACGGCAGCACAAGUCUGGAGUGAAAUGCCGGGGCUUAACCCCGGAACUGCUUUUGAAACUGUGCAGCUAGAGUGCAGGAGAGGUAAGUGGAAUUCCUAGUGUAGCGGUGAAAUGCGUAGAGAUUAGGAGGAACACCAGUGGCGAAGGCGGCUUACUGGACUGUAACUGACGUUGAGGCUCGAAAGCGUGGGGAGCAAACAGGAUUAGAUACCCCUGUAGUC
rnacentral:rRNA from 1 species